CCGCCGCCCUCGUAACGCGCGAAUUGAGCCUUUCCCCCCCAAAACGCCCGCGGCAGCGCCGACAAAACGCCCGCGGGGACGGCGCCGCGCAAGCAGCCGUUGCCAUGCGGCGCGGGACGGGCCGUGGCGGACGUGGCUCCCCCGGGGCGGGUUUCGGCAGGAAAAAAUGAGCGGGGACCAUGCUGGGACCAUGCUGGGACCAUGCUGGGACCAUGCUGGGACCAUGCUGGUGGCGGCUGUGCGCGGCCGCCGCGGGCAGCCUGGUGCUCUGAGCGGAGGGGGAAAUCAGUCUGGCUUGGGACGGAUUUCUUUCCCCGGGAAGCGAUGCUGGCGGGUGCCGAUAGCGGCCGGGGCGAGGCGCCGAAACCUUCGCGGGGCUCCUGCUCGCGCCAGGCCGCGAGGGCUCCUCGCUUGCUUCGGGGUCAAAGCCGUCUGUCACAGCUUUAGCAGCAAAAAAGGGGGAGAAAAUAACAUAGCCCGAUGCCCAUUGCAUUCUGCAUYGUGGAGGGAGAAAACAUUUCUCAAGCUGUUUAUGUCUUUAUUCGAAAUAUCCGCAUCUCAGUCCCGCCACUUGGGAGGGCGUCCAGCUCUCUGUACCUGUCCGUCUUCUAGCAGCGCUUUUCCCCACCACUUUAUCCAGGUGCUGCUGCGUUAUUUCAUUUGGUGCCACCUAGUUGGGAGACGGGGGAUGGCAACCGCCUGUUCGCGUCCUUGGUCCCUUCGCAGGGCAUGCGGUACUCCGGGGUAAACGGAGUGAACAACGCUGUGCGAUACUCUUCUCUGAGCGUCUCCCUCGCCCUUCGCACGUCACCUGCUUCCGCUGUCUCCUGCCUGGAGGAGACACGAGCUGCACCGAUGUCCGGCACCGUGACAGCAAGCAAUGAGCAAACCGAGCGGCAGGAUCCUAGUCUCGGCCUCCCAGAGCAGCCCCCGGCAUGCGUUAAACCCACAGACCUGCAGUGAGGCAGGAAGGAUUCGGGCAGAACUGCCUGUCCUCGCGAUGCCCAGCUGCUUUCUGCAUCUCCCCGUCACGGGGCUCUUCCAGGCUGGCUGGGAGCUGGAAGCUGCAUCAAGCUCCUUCCCUGCAGGUUUUCACGCUGCAGAGAUUUACAGAAGAACUUUGGCUUAAGCACGUACAGUUUAUUUCUGCAGAGUCUGGAAAAUGGACACACACUUGUUUGUACUGAAAGCUGUUUUCUUAUCAACGUGCAACUAAUAGGCAYGGUGGGCUCACCUCAAGUUGAUAGGCCAUCAGAUUUACUUUCCCUUUUAAAAGCAAGAGCAGCAUAACCCUGUCGAGCACGGACAUGAUAGGGGAAGGAAGACCGCAGGGUACCAAUCAGCAGGAAACCCGCUCGAUGGAUAGAGCCUUGUUCAUGCUCCCUCCGCCUUGUAUCACGCUCCAUGGUGUCUUGGCCGAACCAUCCAGCCCUUGGCACAACGUAGGUGUCACCUCUUCMAAGCCUUUCCCUUAAUGGGGCAACCAUAUGGAUGUGCUGAAUUUUACGGUAUUGUUGUCUGGCCACAGCAGAGAAGCCAAAAGCAGCCCCCUUUGGCUCGCUGCCACCUUCAUGUUACCUGCAGGCCCUUUACCGGGAAUUAUACAGCAGUUUUAUUGCUGGGACAGCGCAGACAGUUUAAAACCCCUUCAGGAUAUAUUCAGGCUUUGAGUGUGUYGUUACAUAAUUAAUAAAC
rnacentral:lncRNA from 1 species